GGGGCCGGGGGAGAGGGGGAAGGAGUCAUAAGUAAUACUUUAAACAAUAAAGAAUUUAAACUUCAAGAAGUCUGGGAUUGUUAAAGCCUUUUAUUUGACAUUGAGUUAGUUUUUUGUGCAUGAAUUAUGAGAGGUACAACCCUGGGGAGAGGUAGACUGGUAUUUCCUGGUUUUGUAGGCUUGUAUAUGCUUGAUAUUUUGUUGACAUAUAUUUUUUGUUUAUUUUAUUGAUACUUUUUUGUUGUCAUACUUUAAAAGUGAGAGUCUCUGUACAACCAGUACUGCCAGGGGCGGGUGCUAUGUCAGGGUUCCCCGGAUCUUUCUCUUUCCCAUCAGCCCAGGAAGCCCUUGGGCGGAAAAGACAGAGAAAGCAGGGAUAGAGGUUACAGCUCUGCCUGCAGCAAGGGGCUGCCCUUAGACGGCCUGUAGGGUGCUCUGUAACAAGAAAAGGCCGGAAGGGGGUGAGGGAAACAAAGUCUCCUUCUAGACCAAGUCUCCUACUGUCAGGGUUUCCCACUUUCACGCUAUUGACAUUUUGAGCCAGAGAAUUCUUUGUUGUGGGGUGCUAUCCUGGGCUUUUUGGGAUGUCUAGAUCAUCUCGGGUCUCUGUCUACUACUAUAUGCCAGUAGCACUAGCCACCACCACCCCAAAACAAACAAAUAAACAAAUAAAACAACCCCCAGUGCAGUGAGUAGAAGCACCAGCUCUUCAAUGUGGCUGCAAGGCCUGUGCAGUGUAGGUCCAGCCCACUCUGCAGGUUCCUGGUGAGCAGGUGACUCCAGCCACAGUUGUGUGUUCCCCUCUUAACCAACCUGCCUCUGGGGCCUUCCUUGACCUUGCAAGCUAACUCAGGGUCCCUGGUUUACAUUACCCUGGUUCCUUAUGCCUUGUGCCUUCAGAGUACCUAUCAGAAAUUGCUAAAUAGCCCCAGCUGGUUUGGCUCGGUGGAUAGAGCAUUGGCCUUGGGACUGAAAGGUCCCAGGAUUGAUCCCAGUCAGGGCACAUGCCCAGGUUGCAAUCCCAGUAGGGAGCAUACAGGAGGCAACCAAUCAAUGACUCUCUCUCAUCAUUGAUGUUUCUAUGUCUCUUUCCCUAUCUCUUCCUCUCUGAAAUCAAUAAAAAUAUAUAUUUUUUAAAAAUUGCUAAAUAAAAGGUAUUCUCAUGUAAUUAAUGGUUUCUUUGCUAUAUUGUGAAUAUCAUUGAAAGCAUGCUCCCUAUCCUUACUCCCCCUUGCCAACAAGUACUUUUCUCUAGGGCCUUAUCUUACUGUCCCAUCAUUAAGGAGACCUUCCCUGAAUGCCUACAUGCCCAGUUUGUAGGCAGAGAAUCUGAGUCCACCAGUGCCCAGUCCAGGAUAGGUUCCUAUGUUGUACCUGGGGCACCUGAGUGCUGAUCCUUCAGUGCACCUAUCUUAGUAAGGUGGUUAUUUGACUAAAAUGUGAUCACUGCCAAGUUGGGUAGCUCAGUUGGUUGAGCCUUGUCCUGUGGACC